rnacentral:rRNA from 1 species
ACUCCUACGGGAGGCAGCAGUAGGGAAUCUUCCACAAUGGGCGCAAGCCUGAUGGAGCAACACCGCGUGAGUGAAGAAGGGUUUCGGCUCGUAAAGCUCUGUUGUUAAAGAAGAACACGUAUGAGAGUAACUGUUCAUACGUUGACGGUAUUUAACCAGAAAGUCACGGCUAACUACGUGCCAGCAGCCGCGGUAAUACGUAGGUGGCAAGCGUUAUCCGGAUUUAUUGGGCGUAAAGAGAGUGCAGGCGGUUUUCUAAGUCUGAUGUGAAAGCCUUCGGCUUAACCGGAGAAGUGCAUCGGAAACUGGAUAACUUGAGUGCAGAAGAGGGUAGUGGAACUCCAUGUGUAGCGGUGGAAUGCGUAGAUAUAUGGAAGAACACCAGUGGCGAAGGCGGCUACCUGGUCUGCAACUGACGCUGAGACUCGAAAGCAUGGGUAGCGAACAGGAUUAGAUACCCCGUGUAGGAUAGCG